AUACGUAGGUGGCAAGCGUUAUCCGGAAUUAUUGGGCGUAAAGGGUGCGUAGGCGGUUUAUUAAGUCUAUGGUGAAAGUGCGGGGCUCAACCCCGUAUGGCCAUAGAAAUUAGUAGACUUGAGCGCAGGAGAGGGCAAUGGAAUUCCAUGUGUAGCGGUAAAAUGCGUAGAUAUAUGGAGGAACACCAGUGGCGAAGGCGGUUGCCUGGCCUGUAACUGACGCUGAAGCACGAAAGCGUGGGGAGC
rnacentral:rRNA from 1 species